UGGCGGACGGGUGAGGAAUACAUCGGAAUCUACUCUGUCGUGGGGGAUAACGUAGGGAAACUUACGCUAAUACCGCAUACGACCUACGGGUGAAAGCAGGGGAUCUUCGGACCUUGCGCGAUUGAAUGAGCCGAUGUCGGAUUAGCUAGUUGGCGGGGUAAUGGCUCACCAAGGCGACGAUCCGUAACUGGUCUGAGAGGAUGAUCAGUCACACUGGAACUGAGACACGGUCCAGACUCCUACGGGAGGCAGCAGUA
rnacentral:rRNA from 1 species